rnacentral:rRNA from 1 species
UACGAAGGGGGCUAGCGUUGCUCGGAAUCACUGGGCGUAAAGCGCACGUAGGCGGAUCUUUAAGUCAGGGGUGAAAUCCUGGAGCUCAACUCCAGAACUGCCUUUGAUACUGGGGAUCUCGAGUCCGGAAGAGGUGAGUGGAACUCCGAGUGUAGAGGUGAAAUUCGUAGAUAUUGGGAGGAACACCAGUGGCGAAGGCGGCUCACUGGACCGGAACUGACGCUGAGGCGCGAAAGCGUGGGGAGCAAACAGG